CAGUCGCCGCGGUAAUACGAAGGGUGCAAGCGUUAAUCGGAAUUACUGGGCGUAAAGGGCUCGCAGGCGGUUUCUUAAGUCUGAUGUGAAAGCCCCCGGCUCAACCGGGGAGGGUCAUUGGAAACUGGGAAACUUGAGUGCAGAAGAGGAGAGUGGAAUUCCACGUGUAGCGGUGAAAUGCGUAGGGAUGUGGAGGAACACCAGUGGCGAAGGCGACUCUCUGGUCUGUAACUGACGCUGAGGAGCGAAAGCGUGGGGAGCGAACAGGAUUAGAUACCCGCGUAGUCCCUGUCUCUUAUAC
rnacentral:rRNA from 1 species